AUUGAACGCUGGCGGCAUGCCUUACACAUGCAAGUCGAACGGCAGCACGGGUGCUUGCACCUGGUGGCGAGUGGCGAACGGGUGAGUAAUACAUCGGAACAUGUCCUGUAGUGGGGGAUAGCCCGGCGGAAGCCGGAUUAAUACCGCAUACGAUCUACGGAUGAAAGCGGGGGACCUUCGGGCCUCGCGCUAUAGGGUUGGCCGAUGGCUGAUUAGCUAGUUGGUGGGGUAAAGGCCUACCAAGGCGACGAUCAGUAGCUGGUCUGAGAGGACGACCAGCCACACUGGGACUGAGACACGGCCCAGACUCCUACGGGAGGCAGCAGUGGGGAAUUUUGGACAAUGGGCGAAAGCCUGAUCCAGCAAUGCCGCGUGUGUGAAGAAGGCCUUCAGGUUGUAAAGCACUUUUGUCCGGAAAGAAAUCCUUGGCCCUAAUACGGCCGGGGGAUGACGGUACCGGAAGAAUAAGCACCGGCUAACUACGUG
rnacentral:rRNA from 1 species